ACGGGGGCCCGCACAAGCAGCGGAGCGUGUGGUUUAAUUCGAUGCAACGCGAAGAACCUUACCAAGGCUUGACAUGCCAGAAGUAGGAACUCGAAAGAGAGACCACCUGUAUCCAGUCAGGAACUGGCACAGGUGCUGCAUGGCUGUCGUCAGCUCGUGCCGUGAGGUGUUAGGUUAAGUCCUGCAACGAGCGCAACCCUCGUCGCUAGUUAAAUUUUUCUAGCGAUACUGCCCGUAAAACGAGGAGGAAGGUGGGAUGACGUCAAGUCAGCAUGGCCCUUACGCCUUGGGCUACACACACGCUACAAUGGGUGAUACAACGGGUUGCGAGAGAGCGAUCUGGAGCUAAUCCCUAAAAUCAUCCUCAGUUCGGAUUGCAGGCUGAAACUGCCUGCAUGAAGUUGGAGUUGCUAGUAACCGCAGGUCAGCACACUGCGGUGAAUACGUUCUCGGGCCUU
rnacentral:rRNA from 1 species